GGUAAAACGGCUGAGGAAGCAUUAGACUGUAAAUCUAAGGACAGGGGUAAGGCCCCGUUUUUGCCA
rnacentral:tRNA from 1 species